CAACAACCCCCUUGUCCCCUUUUGUUUCCCCCCAAUAGAGUUUGAUCAUGGCUCAGGACGAACGCUGGCGGCGUGCCUAAUACAUGCAAGUCGAGCGGACCGAACGGAAGCUUGCUUCUGUUCGGUUAGCGGCGGACGGGUGAGUAACACGUGGGUAACCUGCCCGUAAGACCGGGAUAACUCCGGGAAACCGGGGCUAAUACCGGAUAACACCGAAGACCGCAUGGUCUUUGGUUGAAAGGUGGCUUUUGCUACCACUUACGGAUGGGCCCGCGGCGCAUUAGCUAGUUGGUGAGGUAACGGCUCACCAAGGCGACGAUGCGUAGCCGGCCUGAGAGGGUGACCGGCCACACUGGGACUGAGACACGGCCCAGACUCCUACGGGAGGCAGCAGUAGGGAAUCUUCCGCAAUGGACGAAAGUCUGACGGAGCGACGCCGCGUGAGCGAAGAAGGUCUUCGGAUCGUAAAGCUCUGUUGUUAGGGAAGAAGAAGUACCGUUCGAAUAGGGCGGUACGGUGACGGUACCUAACGAGAAAGCCCCGGCUAACUACGUGCCAGCAGCCGCGGUAAUACGUAGGGGGCGAGCGUUGUCCGGAAUUAUUGGGGCGUAAAGCGCGCGCAGGCGGUCCCUUAAGUCUGAUGUGAAAGCCCACGGCUCAACCGUGGAGGGUCAUUGGAAACUGGGGGACUUGAGUGCAGAAGAGGAGAGCGGAAUUCCACGUGUAGCGGUGAAAUGCGUAGAGAUGUGGAGGAACACCAGUGGCGAAGGCGGCUCUCUGGUCUGUAACUGACGCUGAGGCGCGAAAGCGUGGGGAGCAAACAGGAUUAGAUACCCUGGUAGUCCACGCCGUAAACGAUGAGUGCUAAGUGUUAGAGGGGUUAAACCCUUUAGUGCUGUAGCUAACGCGUUAAGCACUCCGCCUGGGGAGUACGGCCGCAAGGCUGAAACUCAAAGGAAUUGACGGGGGCCCGCACAAGCGGUGAAGCAUGUGGUUUAAUUCGAAGCAACGCGAAGAACCUUACCAGGUCUUGACAUCCCCUGACAACCCUGGAGACAGGGCGUUCCCCCUUCGGGGGGACAGGGUGACAGGUGGUGCAUGGUUUUCGUCAGCUCGUGUCGUGAGAUGUUGGGUUAAGUCCCGCAACGAGCGCAACCCUCGCCCCUAGUUGCCAGCAUUCAGUUGGGCACUCUAGGGGGACUGCCGGUUAAAACAACAGAGGAAGGUGGGGAUGACGUCAAAUCAUCAUACCCCUUAUGACCUGGGCUGCACACAUGCGGCAAUGGGCGGUACUUAGGGCUGCCAAUCCGCGAGGGGGAGCGAAUCCCAAAAAGCUACUGUCAUUUGUUAUUGGAGGGCGCCACUCACCAGCCUGAGACCGUAAACGGUA
rnacentral:rRNA from 1 species